rnacentral:rRNA from 1 species
GGGACACGUGGUAUCCUGUCUGAAUAUGGGGGGACCAUCCUCCAAGGCUAAAUACUCCUGACUGACCGAUAGUGAACCAGUACCGUGAGGGAAAGGCGAAAAGAACCCCGGCGAGGGGAGUGAAAAAGAACCUGAAACCGUGUACGUACAAGCAGUGGGAGCACCUUCGGGUGUGACUGCGUACCUUUUGUAUAAUGGGUCAGCGACUUAUAUUCUGUAGCAAGGUUAACCGUAUAGGGGAGCCGCAGGGAAACCGAGUCUUAACUGGGCGUUAAGUUGCAGGGUAUAGACCCGAAACCCGGUGAUCUAGCCAUGGGCAGGUUGAAGGUUGGGUAACACUAACUGGAGGACCGAACCGACUAAUGUUGAAAAAUUAGCGGAUGACUUGUGGCUGGGGGUGAAAGGCCAAUCAAACCGGGAGAUAGCUGGUUCUCCCCGAAAGCUAUUUAGGUAGCGCCUCGUGAAUUCAUCUUCGGGGGUAGAGCACUGUUUCGGCUAGGGGGUCAUCCCGACUUACCAACCCGAUGCAAACUACGAAUACCGAAGAAUGUUAUCACGGGAGACACACGGCGGGUGCUAACGUCCGUCGUGAAGAGGGAAACAACCCAGACCGCCAGCUAAGGUCCCAAAGUCAUGGUUAAGUGGGAAACGAUGUGGGAAGGCACAGACAGCCAGGAUGUUGGCUUAGAAGCAGCCAUCAUUUAAAGAAAGCGUAAUAGCUCACUGGUCGAGUCGGCCUGCGCGGAAGAUGUAACGGGGCUAAACCAUGCACCGAAGCUGCGGCAGCGACACUAUGUGUUGUUGGGUAGGGGAGCGUUCUGUAAGCCUGCGAAGGUGUGCUGUGAGGCAUGCUGGAGGUAUCAGAAGUGCGAAUGCUGACAUAAGUAACGAUAAAGCGGGUGAAAAGCCCGCUCGCCGGAAGACCAAGGGUUCCUGUCCAACGUUAAUCGGGGCAGGGUGAGUCGACCCCUAAGGCGAGGCCGAAA